UGCGUAGGCGGCAUUAUAAGUCAGAGGUGAAAGCUUGCAGCUUAACUGUGAAAUUGCCUUUGAUACUGUAGUGCUUGAAUUAGGCUGUGGUUAGCGGAAUGUGUCAUGUAGCGGUGAAAUGCAUAGAUAUGACAUAGAACACCAAUUGCGAAGGCAGCUAACUAGACCUAUAUUGACGCUGAGGCACGAAAGCGUGGGGAGCGAACAGGAUUAGAUACCCUGGUAGUCC
rnacentral:rRNA from 1 species